GGUUCAAAAGGUCCUCUAUCCCCA
rnacentral:tRNA from 1 species